UACGUAGGGGGCUAGCGUUGUCCGGAUUUAUUGGGCGUAAAGAGCGUGUAGGCGGCCAAGUAGGUCCGGUGUGAAAACUCGAGGCUUAACCUCGAGAUGUCAUCGGAAACCAUUUGGCUAGAGUCCGGAAGAGGAAAGUGGAAUUCCUGGUGUAGCGGUGAAAUGCGCAGAUAUCAAGAGGAACACCUGAGGUGAAGACGGGUUGCUGGGCUGACACUGACGCUGAUAGCGCGAAAGCCAGGGGAGCAAACGGG
rnacentral:rRNA from 1 species